rnacentral:rRNA from 1 species
CCCUUAGAUGCUCUGGGCCGCACGCGCGCUACACUGGUCGAUGCAACGAGUUUCUUUCCUUGGCCGACAGGCCUGGGCAAUCUUUGAACAUCGAUCGUGAUCGGGAUAGAUUCUUGUAAUUUUUGAUCUUAAACGAGGAAUUCCUAGUAAACGCAAGUCAUCAGCUUGCAUUGAUUACGUCCCUGCCCUUUGUACACACCGCCCGUCGCACCUACCGAUUGAAUGGUCCGGUGAAAUCUGCGGACUGGCGUGAGUCGGAGCAAUCUGACAAACACCGGAAAGUUGAUUAAACCUUACCAUUUAGAGGAAGGUGAAGUCGUAACA